CCUACGGGAGGCAGCAGUGGGGGAUAUUGCACAAUGGGGGAAACCCUGAUGCAGCGAUGCCGCGUGUGGGAAGACGGCCCUCUGGAUUGUAAACCACUGUCCCCAGGGACGAAGUUGACGGUACCUGGGGAGGAAGCUCCGGCUAACUACGUGCCAGCAGCCGCGGUAAUACGCAGGGAGCGAGCGUUGUCCGGAAUUACGGGGUGUAACGGGAGCGUAGGCGGGACUGCAAGUUGGGUGUCAAAUCUACCGGCUCAACCGGUAGCCGCACUCAAAACUGCAGUUCUUGAGUGAAGUAGAGGCAGGCGGAAUUCCUAGUGUAGCGGUGAAAUGCGUAGAUAUUAGGAGGAACACCAGUGGCGAAGGCGGCCUGCUGGGCUUUGACUGACGCUGAGGCUCGAAAGUGUGGGGAGCAAACAGGAUUAGAUACCCUUGUAGUC
rnacentral:rRNA from 1 species